GGGAGAUUAGAGCGUAGAUGGCUAGCGUCCCUGGCUGUAAACCAGGUGCCUUCGGGCCCCGGGGGUUCAAGUCCCUCAUCUCCCA
rnacentral:tRNA from 1 species